GACGUAGGGCGCGAGCGUUGUCCGGAUUUAUUGGGCGUAAAGAGCUCGUAGGCGGCUUGUCGCGUCGACUGUGAAAACCCGCGGCUCAACUGCGGGCCUGCAGUCGAUACGGGCAGGCUAGAGUUCGGUAGGGGAGACUGGAAUUCCUGGUGUAGCGGUGAAAUGCGCAGAUAUCAGGAGGAACACCUGAGGUGAAGACGGGUUGCUAGGCUGACACUGACGCUGAGGCGCGAAAGCCAGGGGAGCAAACGGG
rnacentral:rRNA from 1 species